AUGAGGGAGAAGGGAGGUUGGGGUUUGUUUGCGGAAUUUGGCGCUGGCAGGCAAGAAGGAGCAGUUUUCAAGACAGAUUUCAACCCAGAACAUCAUGUUCCUUCUGGUGUGGUUAUGGUACUGUCAUUUGUAACAAAUGAUAAACAAUCAGCCAUGGUGAGAACAAGGGUUGAACAGUCAACAGAGGGUGAUGGAGCGUGGUGUGAUGAUGAAGCGGCGUAG